UUGAACGCUGGCGGCAUGCCUUACACAUGCAAGUCGAACGGUAGGGUAGCAAUACUUGAGAGUGGCGAACGGGUGAGUAAUAUAUCGGAACGUGCCCAACUGUGGGGGAUAACGUAGAGAAAUUUACGCCAAUACCGCAUAUGAUCUAAGGAUGAAAGCGGGGGAUCGCAAGACCUCGCGUAGUUGGAGCGGCUGAUAUCAGAUUAGCUUGUUGGUGAGGUAAAAGCUCACCAAGGCGACGAUCUGUAGCUGGUUUGAGAGAACGACCAGCCACACUGGGACUGAGACACGGCCCAGACUCCUACGGGAGGCAGCAGUGGGGAAUUUUGGACAAUGGGCGAAAGCCUGAUCCAGCAAUGCCGCGUGCAGGAAGAAGGCCUUCGGGUUGUAAACUGCUUUUGUACGGAACGAAACGGUCCUUUUUAAUACAGGGGGCUAAUGACGGUACCGUAAGAAUAAGCACCGGCUAACUACGU
rnacentral:rRNA from 1 species